rnacentral:rRNA from 1 species
UUCACGGAGAGUUUGAUCCUGGCUCAGGACGAACGCUGGCGGCGUGCUUAACACAUGCAAGUCGAACGAUGAACCGGUUUCGGCCGGGGAUUAGUGGCGAACGGGUGAGUAACACGUGGGCAAUCUGCCCUGCACUCUGGGACAAGCCCUGGAAACGGGGUCUAAUACCGGAUAUGACUGCCGACCGCAUGGUCUGGUGGUGGAAAGCUCCGGCGGUGCAGGAUGAGCCCGCGGCCUAUCAGCUUGUUGGUGGGGUGAUGGCCUACCAAGGCGACGACGGGUAGCCGGCCUGAGAGGGCGACCGGCCACACUGGGACUGAGACACGGCCCAGACUCCUACGGGAGGCAGCAGUGGGGAAUAUUGCACAAUGGGCGCAAGCCUGAUGCAGCGACGCCGCGUGAGGGAUGACGGCCUUCGGGUUGUAAACCUCUUUCAGCAGGGAAGAAGCGC